rnacentral:lncRNA from 1 species
CAACAUUAAGACUGGAUUGAUUGAAGAAGAUCUUUGCAGCUCUUUAGAAUUGGGUAACAGAUCAUUCCCACCUAUUGUGAUUCCCUAUUCCAAGAGUUUACUAGGAGUUCAGGCCAAAGAUAAAGAAGACCGUCCUCUUAAGAAAAGACGCGCCUAUGAGUGAUUAUAUUUGUCAGCAAACUGAGAGAUGUAUUGAAGAUUGCUUACUGAAUACAAUGAAAUUAAAACUCACAUUUCUAUUUAUGAUUUCAAAUGCAUUUUAUAUAAUAAAUAUAAAUUAUUAUAUUUGUCAUUAUUAAUAACACCAGAGGUAGUUUUUCUUGAAGUUGAAUUUGAUCUUGGAACACCCUGCAUGUAUCUAGAUUCUAUGGCCACUUUCUAUUCUUUAUUAACAAAUUUCUUUCUUGAACUUUCUACCUUAGCUUCUGAAAAGUCACUUAAUAUAGAGUUAGUGUCUUCAUGGUCAGAAUCAUAAUGCAUAGAACUGUCAAAUGGUUCGAAGAUAUUCAUCAAAUCUUUUGGAUUACCAACAAAUUGAUUUCUUCCAGGAACUGGUCUCACCCCAACAAGCAUAGGAACUGGAUUGCUAGCUUUAACGCGAUCAACAUAAAUAAACUGGCCUAAUUGCAAUUUGUUUGUCACAAUGAGGUCAUUGUCGUCUUUGGACAGGGAGACAGGAUGAAUGUGAGGAAUCAGAGACCUUAAUGAAAAAGCCAUGAUCUGGAAAUAACUCGGGUCCUGUUGAUGCAGGGACAAUGUUAAUCACUUGUAGCAGUACAGAUCGAAAUUCACCAUGUACUCUUGUUGUUGUAUUCAUGCUUUGGAGAAACUUUAUUAGUAGAGAAAUACCUUAAACCUGAAGUCAGAAACUCUGCACAGAAAAGAAAUGAAUGAACAAAGUGGAAGAAACUGUGUGGAUUGUUUUUGUAAAAGGUUGGAACUCAACAUCCACGCCACAUUCCUCACACUCUUUGCUUCCCACUCCAGUCAAGUAAUUAUCAAAAGGUCAGGUAGCUUUCAAGUCAAGAUAAAUUGAUACACAAUUCUACCUUUUCUCAACUGAGUUAUACUCAUAAUAAGGUCUUAGCAAUAAUCUAAAAAUGGGACUUGGAACUAUUUCAAGAUGUAAGGUCACAUUUGAUAAAUUUCCAAGUUUUAUCUAAAAAUCUACGUCUAACACAUACAAUACACCUUAAAUAAAGUAAGAAAAGGACUAAUCCACAGUCCCCCUCUUACUUCAACUCAUUUGAUAAGUUUAUUGGUGCCUCUGCUAAACAGAUGGGCCAAAAUGUAUUGGUGGCCCAAUAAGCCCAUGUUUGAUCAUGAAAUUAUUAGUGUGGGCUUUUUAUCUGACAAUAUCCAAGUCCAUAUCUGAUUCCGAAUCCAAAUCCGAAUCAAACUUUCUUGAAGUCCAAACAAAACAAGCUCCUCUUCUGAGUUCUGACACAGUCUCAAACACAGAAAAAAAGAGAACGAGAGAACCUACAUAGGUUGUUGAUUAUAUAAUUCACGAGUUUUAAGUGUUACUGCAUGUGUUGAACAAGUAAUGGUGGAAGACGACAUAUUCUCUUAUGAUUAUACUGCUAUUGAAAUUUUAUCUCGGUUACCUAUUGAAUCUAUAGCUAGCUGAGCUGAUGAGAGCUCAAGUCCACAUCCAAGAGAUGGUUUCAAAUCCUUUCAGACCCUUCUUUCAUUAAUGCUCACUUCCAACGUUUAUGUGAAAACCUUCUCAGGGCUUAAGUUCAAUAUUUUCCCCAUUAAAAGGUUGGAACUCAACAUCCACGCCAUAUCAUGCAUAUUCCUGAUCACACUCUUUGCUUCACAGUACUCCAGUCAAGUAAUAAUCACAAGGUCAUGCAUAUAUAUACAAUCCCGGCCACCUUUCUUUUUCUCAUUGAUCGAAUUGUCCUCAUAAUAGGAUCUUAAACGAAAUUUUGGAACUAUUUCAAGAUGUAAAGUCAUGUUUAAUGACAUUAUUAAGUUUUACCUACAUACAAGACAAGGACAAGGACUAACCCAUAACUUUGUAAGUCAUUUAUUCAAACCUUGGUUAUUCAAGGGGGAAUAUUAAUGCUCAUACACUAUUAAUGCACAGUUUCUAGUCGAGCCAACUUUUGGCACGGUUUGGUUGUGUUAGGCUCGUUGCAAGACCGUGCCAAAUUUAUGCUCACUCUGAAACCGAGCCAAACCGUUAGCUACAUACACUUUUAGUCUUUUAUGCACAUGGCACACAUGGUAUAAAAAGCCUUAACUUUUGGUCAAUACAAUUUGACCACAACCCACGAUAUCUUUUCUCCUCUCCCAGUCUCCCACUCCUCCUCUACUAAGGUUUGUGUUCUUCCCCAAAUCGAGUUCUCCAACCACAUCCUAAUCUUCAUUCACUCAAAUCUCACUUUCCUCCAAUACAAAUUAGGGUUUAGGGUUUCUUCUUCUUUUCUCUCCCCUCUAAAGUUUUGAGAAACCUUAAACUAAAAUUAAACCCUAAUUUGUAUACUUCUAUUUCAUUGUUUGGUUUUGAAAUCAUAAUCACAGAACUUCGAUUUUAGGGACGGUGGCAUCUCUUCUUGUUUCCAGAAUAUAAAUCUACCUUGAGUUGUGCAAGGUAAGCUUUUUUCUACGAAUUGUUUCAUAUUUUUUUUUUCUCUCACAUCAAUUUUGGGUUGUUAUUUUUGUUGGGUACUGAAAUUUGGUACAGAUUUCGGAAAGGAAGAAGAAAGGUGAAGAGAAUUGUAAAGCCAACUGACGACCAUUUGAGCUUAGCUGACAUGGAUGUAAUUAAAGUGAUUGGAAAGGGUAGAGGUUGGGAUUGUGCAACUGGUGCGUCAUAAAUGGACUGCCAAUUUCUAGUUCUUAAGGUAUUAUUCAGAAUGAUAUGCAAGCCUUGUUUUCUUCCAUUGUUUCGCAUUUAUAACUCAUAAGUUGUAGUCAUAGAUAUGAUAAUACUUAUAAAAAAUUCUGGCGGUAAUCAGAUAUAUAUGCUGGUUGGUUAGUUUAGAAAAGCAUGGUCCCAGAGUUUUAGUCUAGUUUCGUACUCUUUUCUAAGCAAUUGUCUAACAAUAUACAAAUGUAAGCUGUUGCUUACCAGUUAACUCCUUAUGUAAUUUUUUUUAUGUAAUUUGUUAAUUAUAUCACCAAAAAAAUUAUAACUUUUUCUUUGUGAGGUAAAUUACACUUUUCAUUUGGCAUGGAAUCACUGUAAUAAUUUAGGUGGUUUUUAAUAGUGCUAUAAUUAGAUGAAUAUUUGUGUCCUCAUUUUUUGUGCUCAUUGCUAAGUUCUUAUUGCAGCUGGAAGCUAUCCAAUUCAUCACAUCCCACAAGUCCAUCGUAGCCGCAGCUAAGAUUUCUGAUCUUAUGGAUAUUGUCAUUAAAAGCGUAUCGGGUCUUGCAGUAUUAUCUCAUGUCCGUUUUUACUAACCUAGGUAGUUUGCUUGAAUUGAAGGAGUCUGUCAAUGAACAUGCACACAUGGUUAUAUAGUCCUUCAUAGUUUCUCACAAGCUUACUUCUUUCAUCAUGAUGCUUGCAUUCACCUGCUCUAUUCCAUUUUUUUUUCUUUUGUCUAAUAUAUGUGUUUCAUUGCUCAGGAAUUACCUGUAUAAUGAAAAGCAUGCAACCUACACUAGAAUUGGUUGUGAGUACAACGUCUGAGGGAUCAACUGGCCCUGUGGGUGGCACUUCUAAAAAGUGAAAAUCACUUGCAGCAUACAAAAUUUUCUAAGGUUGUCCAUUGAGUUACAAUAUUAGAUGUAAUAGUGUUUUUUAAGCUGAAAAAUACUUAUUUGGUUAUUGGAUCUAAUUGUUAUCUCACCUUAAUUAAUAAGAAUUAUGAUUAUUUGUGUACUGUAGGUUUACUGCAUCAGCGUCUGUCUGUAGAAUGGCUGAGGCAGCACUUGCACAAGUCCUUGGACAGUAAUUACAUGCAUUGGGUUCAUAUCUGAAACAUUAUCUUGAUGCAGCAGAUGUUGUCAUCGAUAAAAUAUUUGAGCUUUUGACAUUGCUUCCAAUCACUCGUAAGGUAUUCUUUGAAUUUGUUUAUCUCCUUUUCUUCUUUUUAUUGCUAAGUUCCACAUCAUGUUUGUAGUUAAAGCCAACUUUUCUGUUAAUAACUUUAAUACUUGACAGAACAUUCCAGCAAAUAUUGUUCGACAUGCAAGGUUGCAGAUCUAUACCUCAUUUAUCCACAUAACCAAUACUGCAGACAAAAGCCUUUUGCCUCAUGAAGGUUAGUUCCAUUUGACUAACUAUAUUUUUGAAAAAACAAGUUUGUAUUGAACGAAAUUUUACAAUGUUUGAAUUGAAACUAUGGAAUAACAGGAUCUAGGACUAAGUGACACCAUGUUCAAACGAGUAGUAUUAGGUUUGACGUUGUCUGAGUGAAGGGCUUGUAUUAUACCUAGACAUUGCACAUGCUUUGAGCUAUUUUCCUUUAAUUGCUAGUUUAUAUCUUUCUAUAUGUUUUUUUUCAGUUUUGAGCAACCUAAUGAGCUCUGAUAUAUCGUUAUACACUAUUAGUUUGUUGGUCUUCUUCGGGACAUAUUUUAUUUCUUGGUUCUUUAUUAACAUGGUAUAUGCUGUUAAAAUUAGGGAAAACAUAAUUAUCUUUCGAAAGGUUCACUAGCAUGCCAAAAUAUCACUGCCCUUAGUGUUUUAAAAAAUGGUUCAAAGUUUUAGCACAUUUCCAAGUGUUUUUAAAAAAUGGUUCAUUGUUGUUGUGGUUGUCAUAAACUCAUACCGACUCUGCAGAGAAUCUAUAUACUUACGUGUUUGAGAGAUACUAUGAUUAAGUUUAUGUACGAAGUGUCGGCUUUUCUGUUUUCUACUUUAGUUUAUGUUGAGACAAUGUGUUUUAAGUUAUUCUAUUUUCUAGCCACUACAAAGAAAAAUUUGAAUCUUAUGUUGUUUUCAUGUUUGACUUUUUGUAUUGUGUAAUCAGUUGCCUGAAACAUUUCUGCAGGUGCUAAGGAAAGUUGCUGAGAGUGGAAAUGAAGUCUGAGGGAGUCUGUCUAUCCACAUUCAAGACUCAUGGAUAAGGAUUUAGUUUAAGUUUGUGUAUAGUUUGUAUUUUUGGUGAUUUUGAAAUAGAUCGUAAUUAGUAUAAAUUCAUUGCAACUAGUGGCAAUAUUGUAAAUAGUGCCCUUCCAAGGGUAGAAUAUAAAUAAAAUAUAUUAAUUUUUUUUUUUUUUUUUUCUCAAAAUUUGGCUCGGUUCAGAACUGUGUUAAAUUAUCUGGGUCUUUAUGUUAUGUUGCCACGUGUUAAGCAAUGGUUAGGGUCUGACUUAAAAUUUGGCACGGUUUCGACUUUUUUUGGCACGGUUUCAUGUGUGUGCCAAUUCAUUAGCCACAUGCGUUUUUGGCACGGUUGAGAACCGAGUUAAAGCAGUUUUGGCUCAGUUUAUAACCGUGCCAAAUUGGAGAACUUGGUGUAGUGAUAAGCUACCGUUGUAAGAGUUACUUGUAAGGUGUUGAAAUUAAGAAAAAAUGAUAUAUACUUUUCCUAUGAAUGGGGUUUGAGUUUAACAACGAGAACAAAGUUUAUAUAGCUAUAGAAAAAUUACAUUACAUACAGUGAGAUCUUUCUCAUUUUAUCCACUUCAGGCUACUUCAUGCUUCAGCUGUGAAUGUCUAUCACUCUAUCAUUUGCUAUCACUUUGAUUAUCAAAAUAUCGUAAAUUGCUUACAAAACCAAUAUAGAUCGUGAUAUGUCGCAAUGUUUUUAACCAGUUUUAAUAGAUCUGGUCAACUCUCUUCCCUUUCCUCUUCGAUCUCUAUAUAUCUGGUAAGAAUCUUCUUUGCUCUAAACUGGCUCAGAAUUUUAUUUUUCUUCAAAUAAAGAUUAAAUUUCCUUGCAUUUUUUUUUAUUAUUAUCUAAUUAUUCACACGAAUUCAUUCAUUGUUCUAUGAACAAAUUUGCUCAGAAAAGGUACACGGCAUGACACCAAUUCCUUAUUUAUGUUAUGUUAAGAAAAUAAAAUUAUUAGAAAUUCCUACUUCUUUCGAAUUCUAAUCCUGUUCGGAAUCUCUCUCUCUCUCUAGUGUAUAUAUAUCGUAUCUAUUUUAAUUUUAUUUUGUAAUUUAGGUUGUUGACUGGUCAGGUUUCCUUCAUGGAGAAGGACAGAUUCUCUGAUCAUGAUACUGCAAUAGAAAUUUUAUCUCGGCUGCCUGUUGAAUCAAUAGCUGACCUUAAGUGCACAUCCAAGAGAUGGUUAGAAAUAUUUUCCGACCCUUCUUUCAUUAAUGCUCACUUCCAACGUUCUGCGAAAGCCGUCUCUGGGCUUUUUGUACAGGGGAUAAUUUAUUGCACAGGCUGUCUAAAUUAUGUAGACUUCCCUAUAGUGGACUAUAUAUCAAUGGAGAAAGAGGAGGGAUGCCACAAAUUUUGCCAAACAACUUUGGACUUCUUGCCUGAGAAAGUUAGUAUAAUAGCUUCAUGCAAUGGGAUUCUCUUAUGUCGCAGUUUUUUUGAAAUGAUAUACGAAGAUCAUUGCCAUUGGAGAGGGGAUACAAAAGAUGUACCUAUGGAGAUUGUAUUGUAUGUGUGCAAUCCAUUUACCAAGGAGUGGACUACAUUCAAACCAAAAGGUAAGUAUGAAAAACGUUGUUGCUUUGGAUUUGCUUAUGAUCCAUAUGGCUCUACACUAGUGAAUCCUGCCAAAACCUAUGCUAGGUUUCAAGUUGUAAUGGUGCAACCUCCGUCGAAACUUGGUAAGUAUCCUUAUUUAUUUCGGGUUUAUUCUUCUCAAACUGGAACAUGGAGGUUAUCAAAGGAAGUUUGUUAUUUGCCCAAUGUAAUACACCCACACCAAGGGUGUUUUGUUGAAGGAGUAUAUUUUUGGAUGACCACUGGUCAUAGCAUUCUUACAUUUGAUUUCAAACAAGAAAAAUCUCAAGUAAUCCCAUUACCAGGUCCUGAGUUGAUACAUGGAGGAGAGACGGGGAUGUGUUUGGGUGUGUCUGAAGGAGAUGUGCACUAUGUUUGCUUAAACAAGUAUGACCUUAUGGUGUGGACACUCAAACAUGACAUAUCCGGAUGUAAAUGGGUUCUAAAACAUUCAAAGCCUGCCCGUGAAAUACGACAUCAUUCUUAUAACUCCAUGCAUAUGCCUGAUCCCCUUCGUAAAACUGACGAGUCUAUCAAGACAAAUAAUAGUAUUAUACACCCGUAUGCUUUUCGAGAUGAUAUUUUGUUCAUGAAUGCAGCUUACACUAUGUGCACUUACAACAUUAAGACUGGAUUGAUUGAAGAAGAUCUUUGCAGCUCUUUAGAAUUGGGUAACUUAUCAUUCCCACCUAUUGUGAUUCCCUAUUCCAAGAGUUUACUAGGAGUUCAGGCCAAAGAUAAAAGAAGACCGUCCUCUUAAGAAAAGAUGCGCCUAUGAGUGAUUAUAUUUGUCAGCAAACUGAGAGAUGUAUUGAAGAUUGCUUACUGAAUACAAUGAAAUUAAAACUCACAUUUCUAUUUAUGAUUUCAAAUGCAUUUUAGCUUAACAUGUGGAGUGCAUGUGCAUUCUUUUUAUAGGAAGGUAUCUUAAGUAUGAGAAAUAGUUGCAUACCUUUUUAUUUGUCUCAUAUUUUUUUAAGAGGUUUUUGAUAUUUUCCUGGGAAAUCUAUUUUGUAGUACC